UUCCCUUUGGGGGACGCAGUGACAGGUGCUGCAUGGCUGUCGUCAGCUCGUGUCGUGAGAUGUUCGGUUAAGUCCGGCAACGAGCGCAACCCACACCCCUAGUUGCCAGCAGUUCGGCUGGGCACUCUAUGGGAACUGCCCGUGAUAAGCGGGAGGAAGGUGUGGAUGACGUCAAGUCUUCAUGGCCCUUACGGGUUGGGCUACACACGUGCUACAAUGGCAAGUACAGUGGGUUAAUCCCCAAAACUUGUCUCAGUUCGGAUUGGGGUCUGCAACUCGACCCCAUGAAGUCGGAAUCGCUAGUAAUCGCGGAACAGCAUGCCGCGGUGAAUACGUUCCCGGGCCUUGUACACACCGCCCGU
rnacentral:rRNA from 1 species